rnacentral:SRP_RNA from 1 species
GGGCACCUGUAGUCCCAGCUACUCGGGAGGCUGAGGCAGGAGAAUCGCUUGAACCCAGGGAGGUGGCGGUUGCAGUG